rnacentral:rRNA from 1 species
UUUUAUCAAGUGGUAGGAGAGCGUUCUAUUUGCGCCGAAGGUAUACCGGUAAGGAGUGCUGGAGCGAAUAGAAGUGAGCAUGCAGGCAUGAGUAGCGAUAAUUAAUGUGAGAAUCAUUAACGCCGUAAACCCAAGGUUUCCUACGCGAUGCUCGUCAUCGUAGGGUUAGUCGGGUCCUAAGUCGAGUCCGAAAGGGGUAGACGAUGGCAAAUUGGUUAAUAUUCCAAUACCAACAUUAGUGUGCGAUGGAAGGACGCUUAGGGCUAAGGGGGCUAGCGGAUGGAAGUGCUAGUCUAAGGUCGUAGGAGGUUAUACAGGCAAAUCCGUAUAACAAUACUCCGAGAACUGAAAGGCUUUUUGAAGUCUUCGGAUGGAUAGAAGAACCCCUGAUGCCGUCGAGCCAAGAAAAGUUUCUAAGUUUAGCUAAUGUUGCCCGUACCGUAAACCGACACAGGUGGGUGGGAUGAGUAUUCUAAGGCGCGUGGAAGAACUCUCUUUAAGGAACUCUGCAAAAUAGCACCGUAUCUUCGGUAUAAGGUGUGGUUCGCUUCGUAUUAGGAUUUACUCCGAAAGCGAAGAAACUUACAACAAAGAGUCCCUCCCGACUGUUUACCAAAAACACAGCACUCUGCUAACUCGUAAGAGGAUGUAUAGGGUGUGACGCCUGCCCGGUGCUCGAAGGUUAAUUGAUGGGGUUAGCAUUAGCGAAGCUCUUGAUCGAAGCCCGAGUAAACGGCGGCCGUAACUAUAACGGUCCUAAGGUAGCGAAAUUCCUUGUCGGUUAAAUACCGACCUGCAUGAAUGGCGUAACGAGAUGGGAGCUGUCUCAAAGAGGGAUCCAGUGAAAUUGUAGUGGAGGUGAAAAUUCCUCCUACCCGCGGCAAGACGGAGAGACCCCGUGGACCUUUACUACAGCUUGACACUGCUAUUUGGAUAAGAAUGUGCAGGAUAGGUGGGAGGCUUUGAGUAUAUGACGCCAGUUGUAUAUGAGCCAUUGUUGAGAUACCACUCUUUCUUAUUUGGGUAGCUAACCAGCUUGAGUUAUCCUCAAGUGGGACAAUGUCUGGUGGGUAGUUUGACUGGGGCGGUCGCCUCCCAAAUAAUAACGGAGGCUUACAAAGGUUGGCUCAGAACGGUUGGAAAUCGUUCGUAGAGUAUAAAGGUAUAAGCCAGCUUAACUGCAAGACAUACAAGUCAAGCAGAGACGAAAGUCGGUCUUAGUGAUCCGGUGGUUCUGUGUGGAAGGGCCAUCGCUCAAAGGAUAAAAGGUACCCCGGGGAUAACAGGCUGAUCUCCCCCAAGAGCUCACAUCGACGGGGAGGUUUGGCACCUCGAUGUCGGCUCAUCGCAUCCUGGGGCUGGAGCAGGUCCCAAGGGUAUGGCUGUUCGCCAUUUAAAGCGGUACGCGAGCUGGGUUCAGAACGUCGUGAGACAGUUCGGUCCCUAUCUGCCGUGGGCGUAAGAAGAUUGAAGAGAUUUGACCCUAGUACGAGAGGACCGGGUUGAACAAACCACUGGUGUAGCUGUUGUUCUGCCAAGAGCAUCGCAGCGUAGCUAAGUUUGGAAAGGAUAAACGCUGAAAGCAUCUAAGCGUGAAGCCAACUCUAAGAUGAAUCUUCUCUAAGCUCUCUAGAAGACUACUAGUUUGAUAGGCUGGGUGUGUAAUGGAUGAAAGUCCUUUAGCUGACCAGUACUAAUAGAGCGUUUGGCUUAUCUUUAAUAAAGCAU